rnacentral:rRNA from 1 species
GACGAACGCUGGCGGCGUGCCUAAAACAUGCAAGUCGAACGAGGGUAGCAAUACCUUAGUGGCGAACGGCGGAGUAAUACAUAAGCAACGUGCCCCGAAGACUGGGAUAUACAGCCGAAAGGCUGGGCAAUACCGGAUGUGGCGAGAGGUUGGCAUCAACUUUUCACUAAACUAGUUUUUUGUCUUCGGGAGGCGGCUUAUGGCCUAUCAGGUAGGUUGGUGAGGUAACGGCUCACCAACGCCGACGACGGGUAGCGGGUCGUGAGAGGAGUGGACCGCCCGAGUGGGACGUGAGACACGGCCC